GAUGAACGCUAGCUACAGGCUUAACACAUGCGAGUCGAGGGGAAACGACAUCGAAAGCUUGCUUUUGAUGGGCGUCGACCGGCGCACGGGUGAGUAACGCGUAUCCAACCUGCCCAUCACUUGGGAAUAACCUUGCGAAAGUAAGACUAAUACCCAAUGAUAUCCCACGAAGGCAUCGGAAUGGGAUUAAAGAUUUAUCGGUGAUGGAUGGGGAUGCGUCUGAUUAGCUUGUUGGCGGGGUAACGGCCCACCAAGGCAACGAUCAGUAGGGGUUCUGAGAGGAAGGUCCCCCACAUUGGAACUGAGACACGGUCCAAACUCCUACGGGAGGCAGCAGUGAGGAAUAUUGGUCAAUGGGCGAGAGCCUGAACCAGCCAAGUAGCGUGCAGGAAGACGGCCCUAUGGGUUGUAAACUGCUUUUAUAAGGGAAUAAAGUGGGUCACGUGUGACUUUUUGCAUGUACCUUAUGAAUAAGGACCGGCUAAUUCCGUG
rnacentral:rRNA from 1 species